GGGGAAGCACAGGGGAACUUCGCGGCGCCCUCUGAAGCUCCCUCUCGAAUAUAAUCGCAACGAAAAGGCCAACGACUAGAGGCUUUGCGAGGCUGAGGCUGGGCUUCGGGAGGGGAUUGCCCUGAGAGGGCCAGCCCAGGGCGCGCUAAGAGUCCAGAGAGUUCGUUUCCAUGGUGACGGGUUCCGCGAAGGUUUUCCUGGGGUGAAGAGGCAGGGCGUUGAAUAAUCGCCAUGGCGACAGCAGCAGAUGACGGUGUCCCUUCUGAGUGCUCCUACCUAGAGUUAAGGGAUACCUGAGGAGCCGUCCAAAAGGCAAAGUAUGGCUCUGAGAAGACAUGAGUCCUUGGCACCUGGCCCUCCGUCCCUGGCAGGGCCUGUGUUUGUUGAACUGCAAAAAGGCUGUGAGGACAGAGACUUGAUGACAUGGCAAGGUGGGUGUGCAGGGUUUGCUGCAUAAGACGUGGGGAGCAGGCCCUUCCUCACUCUUCACCAAGAUAACAAGAGGUGAGCAAUGAAAAUUGGGGGUACUGCUAGUAACACCAUGCAGGUUGAACCUGGAAACCAGCAGAAGCACUGGGUAGGUGAAAUCGGAUCCUAGAAAGCUCAUGAGCCGUAAGCAGGAGGGGGCAACCAUGGGCUCCUGGGGUGGUUGUAUGCAGGAAGAACUGAAGAAGGAGGCGGGAGGGGCCAGGGAGGCUGCACAGUUGUGAUAACAGUAGGCACAUCAGGGACCGGGGAGGUUUGGGGACCUGCUGCCUGAGGAAAGCUCAGGUUAGGGGCUGAAGGCCUAGGGGGACACAGAGAUGGGAAGGGUUAGAUUAGCUAGAUUGUCUAGAGUUAGGGUUUCCCAAAGCCCAGCUCUUUGGGGCCUCUGCUCUCCCCACUACCUGCCCCUGGCUCCCUGGACACUUGAGAAGUUAUACAA